GAGAUGCUGGGUGAAACAGUGU
rnacentral:miRNA from 1 species